rnacentral:rRNA from 1 species
CCUGGCUCAGGAUGAACGCUAGCGACAGGCUUAACACAUGCAAGUCGAGGGGAAACGACAUCGAAAGCUUGCUUCCGAUGGGCGUCGACCCGGCGCACGGGUGAGUAACGCGUAUCCAACCUGCCCACCACUUGGGGAUAACCUUGCGAAAGUAAGACUAAUACCCAAUGAUAUCUCUAGAAGACAUCUGAAAGAGAUUAAAGAUUUAUCGGUGAUGGAUGGGGAUGCGUCUGAUUAG